rnacentral:rRNA from 1 species
AGCGAACGCUGGCGGCAGGCCUAACACAUGCAAGUCGAACGAACUCUUCGGAGUUAGUGGCGGACGGGUGAGUAACACGUGGGAACGUGCACUUUUGUUCGGAAUAACUCAGGGAAAGUUGUGCUAAUACCAAAUGUGACCUUCGAGGGAAAGAUUUAUCGCCAUUAGAGCGGCCCGCGUCUGAUUAGGUAGUUGGUGAGGUAACGGCUCACCAAGGCGACGAUCAGUAGCUGGUCUGAGAGGAUGACCAGCCACACUGGGACUGAGACACGGCCCAGGCUCCUACGGGAGGCAGCAGUGGGGAAUCUUGCGCAAUGGGCGAAAGCCUGACGCAGCCAUGCCGCGUGAAUGAUGAAGGUCUUAGGAUUGUAAAAUUCUUUCACCGGUGACGAUAAUGACGGUACCCGGAGAAGAAGCCCCGGCUAACUUCGUG